CCUACGGGUGGCAGCAGUGAGGAAUAUUGGUCAAUGGACGAGAGUCUGAACCAGCCAAGUAGCGUGAAGGAUGACUGCCCUAUGGGUUGUAAACUUCUUUUAUAUGGGAAUAAAAUGUUCCACGUGUGGGAUUUUGUAUGUACCAUAUGAAUAAGGAUCGGCUAACUCCGUGCCAGCAGCCGCGGUAAUACGGAGGAUGCGAGCGUUAUCCGGAUUUAUUGGGUUUAAAGGGUGCGUAGGCGGGCUGUUAAGUCAGCGGUAAAAGCCCGGGGCUCAACCCCGGCGAGCCGUUGAAACUGGCUGUCUUGAGAUGUCGAGAGGUAUGCGGAAUGCGCAGUGUAGCGGUGAAAUGCAUAGAUAUCACACAGAACACCGAUUGCGAAGGCAUCUCACGAAUCCGCGAUUGACGCUGAUGCACGAAAGCGUGGGUAUCAAACAGGAUUAGAUACCCGGGUAGUC
rnacentral:rRNA from 1 species